GUUGUGAUUUCAUUAAUCGCUUCGGAGCGCGGGCGGUCGCGGCCGUUAAAUCUUUCACAAGGUUGACCUCGGAUCAGGUAGGGAUACCCGCUGAACUUAAGCAUAUCAAUAAGCGGAG
rnacentral:rRNA from 1 species